UUGGCACUGAAUCAAGACUGGCAGAUUUCUAAAGCUAUUGGUUUCAAGCAGGAGCCUAAGGUGGUAUCUUUCUGUGGUCUCUUGGCCAUUUCAGAACUUUAGAUAUGUAGUGGUCAGAUUGUUAGAAAAAAUAUCA
ensembl:snoRNA small nucleolar RNA SNORA2/SNORA34 family